rnacentral:rRNA from 1 species
ACGAACGCUGGCGGCGUGCUUAACCCAUGCAAGUCGAACGGAAAGGCCCUGCUUUUGUGGGGUGCUCGAGUGGCGAACGGGUGAGUAACACGUGAGUAACCUGCCCUUGACUUUGGGAUAACUUCAGGAAACUGGGGCUAAUACCGGAUAGGAGCUCCUGCUGCAUGGUGGGGGUUGGAAAGUUUCGGCGGUUGGGGAUGGACUCGCGGCUUAUCAGCUUGUUGGUGGGGUAGUGGCUUGCCAAGGCUUUGACGGGUAGCCGGCCUGAGAGGGUGACCGGCCACAUUGGGACUGAGAUACGGCCCAGACUCCUACGGGAGGCAGCAGUGGGGAAUAUUGCACAAUGGGCGGAAGCCUGAUGCAGCAACGCCGCGUGCGGGAUGACGGCCUUCGGGUUGUAAACCGCUUUCGCCUGUGACGAAGCGUGAGUGACGGUAAUGGGUAAAGAAGCACCGGCUAACUACGUG